GAUGAACGCUGGCGGCGUGCCUAAUACAUGCAAGUCGAGCGAAUGGAUUGAGAGCUUGCUCUUAUGAAGUUAGCGGCGGACGGGUGAGUAACACGUGGGUAACCUGCCCAUAAGACUGGGAUAACUCCGGGAAACCGGGGCUAAUACCGGAUAACAUUUUGAACCGCAUGUUUCGACAUUGCAAGGCGGCUUCGGCUGUCACUUAUGGAUGGACCCGCGUCGCAUUAGCUAGUUGGUGAGGUAACGGCUCACCAAGGCAACGAUGCGUAGCCGACCUGAGAGGGUGAUCGGCCACACUGGGACUGAGACACGGCCCAGACUCCUACGGGAGGCAGCAGUAGGGAAUCUUCCGCAAUGGACGAAAGUCUGACGGAGCAACGCCGCGUGAGUGAUGAAGGCUUUCGGGUCGUAAAACUCUGUUGUUAGGGAAGAACAAGUGCUAGUUGAAUAAGCUGGCACCUUGACGGUACCUAACCAGAAAGCCACGGCUAACUACGUGCCAGCCGCCGCGGUAA
rnacentral:rRNA from 1 species